UACGGGGGGAGCAAGCGUUGUUCGGAUUUACUGGGCGUAAAGGGCGCGUAGGCGGUCAGCACAAGUCAGUUGUGAAAUCUCCGGGCUUAACUCGGAAAGGUCAACUGAUACUGUGCGACUAGAGUGCAGAAGGGGCAACUGGAAUUCUCGGUGUAGCGGUGAAAUGCGUAGAUAUCGGGAGGAACACCUGUGGCGAAAGCGGCUCACUGGACCACAACUGACGCUGAUGCACGAAAGCUAGGGGAGCAAACAGG
rnacentral:rRNA from 1 species